rnacentral:rRNA from 1 species
UAGUAACUGCGAGUGAAGCGGGAAAAGCUCAAAUUUUGAAUCUGGCGGUCCUCGUGGUCGUCCGAGUUGUAAUCUAGAGAAGCGUUUUCCGCGCUGGACCGUGUACAAGUCUCCUGGAACGGAGCGUCAUAGAGGGUGAGAAUCCCGUCUCUGACACGGACUACCAGGGCUUUUGUGAUGCGCUCUCGACGAGUCGAGUUGUUUGGGAAUGCAGCUCAAAAUGGGUGGUAAAUUCCAUCUAAAGCUAAAUACAGGCGAGAGACCGAUAGCGAACAAGUACCGUGAGGGAAAGAUGAAAAGAACUUUGGAAAGAGAGUUAAACAGUACGUGAAAUUGCUGAAAGGGAAACGCUUGAAGUCAGUCGCGUUGGCCGGGGAUCAGCCUUGCAAUCUUUGUGGGGUGCACUUCCUGGUCGACGGGUCAGCAUCAGUUUCGAUCGUCGGACAAAGGUCAGGGGAAUGUGGCACCUUUCGGGGUGUGUUAUAGCCCUUGGUCGCAUACGGCGGUUGGGAUUGAGGAACUCAGCACGACCCCUUUGUUGGGUUCGGGGCUUCGGCUCACGACCGUGCUUAGGAUGCUGGCAUAAUGGCUUUAAGYGACCCGUCUUGAAACACGGACCAAGGAGUCUAACAUGCCCGCGAGUGUUUGGGCGUUUAAAACCCGAGCGCGUAAUGAAAGUGAAAGUUGAGACCUCUGUCGUGGAGGGCAUCGACGCCCGGACCGGACCUUUUGCGAUGGCCCUGCGGUAGAGCGUGCAUGUUGGGACCCGAAAGAUGGUGAACUAUGCCUGAAUAGGGUGAAGCCAGAGGAAACUCUGG